CUGCCAUGCUCCCUCGCGGUUCCCAUAAUUCCCAGCAUGGACAUAUCAUAAAGAAAUCACUACUCCAUGAUGUGUCCAUGCUGGGAAUUAUGGGAACCGCAAGGGAGCAUGGCAGUUA